GGUGAUAUAGCUCAGUUGGUAGAGCGAGGGACUCAUAACCCCUAGGUCGCUGGUUCGAGUCCAGUUAUCACCACCA
rnacentral:tRNA from 1 species